UACCAGCACCCCGAGUGGUCGGGACGAUUAUUGGGCCUAAAGCAUCCGUAGCCGGUUCUACAAGUCUUCCGUUAAAUCCACCUGCUCAACAGUUGGGCUGCGGAGGAUACUAUAGAGCUAGGAGGCGGGAGAGGCAAGCGGUACUUAGUGGGUAGGGGUAAAAUCCGUUGAUCCAUUGAAGACCACCAGUGGCGAAGGCGGCUUGCCAGAACGCACUCGACGGUGAGGGAUGAAAGCUGGGGGAGUAAACCGG
rnacentral:rRNA from 1 species